UACGUAGGGGCCUAGCGUUGUCCGGAUUUAUUGGGCGUAAAGAGCUCGUAGGCGGUUUGGUAAGUCAGGUGUGAAAUCUCCACGCUCAACGUGGAGGGGCCACCCGAAACUGCCAUGACUUGAGUCCGGUAGGGGAGUGUGGAAUUCCCGGUGUAGCGGUGAAAUGCGCAGAUAAUCGGGAGGAACACCCGUAGCGAAGGCGGCACUCUGGGCCGGUACUGACGCUGAGGAGCGAAAGCGUGGGGAGCAACAGG
rnacentral:rRNA from 1 species